rnacentral:rRNA from 1 species
UUUAUUUGAUAGUGCCUUACUACUUGGAUAACCGUGGUAAUUCUAGAGCUAAUACAUGCUAAAAACCCCAACUUCGGAAGGGGUGUAUUUAUUAGAUACAAAACCAAUGCCCUUCGGGGCUCUUUGGUGAUUCAUGAUAACUAUACGAAUCGCACGGCCUUGCGCCGGCGAUGGUUCAUUCAAAUUUCUUCCCUAUCAACUUUCGAUGUUUGGGUAUUGGCCAAACAUGGUUGCAACGGGUAACGGAGGGUUAGGGCUCGACCCCGGAGAAGGAGCCUGAGAAACGGCUACUACAUCCAAGGAAGGCAGCAGGCGCGCAAAUUACCCAAUCCCGACUCGGGGAGGUAGUGACAAUAAAUACUGAUACAGGGCCCUUUCGGGCCUUGUAAUUGGAAUGAGUACAAUUUAAAUCCCUUAACGAGGAACAAUUGGAGGGCAAGUCUGGUGCCAGCAGCCGCGGUAAUUCCAGCUCCAAUAGCGUAUAUUAAAGUUGUUGUGGUUAAAAAGCUCGUAGUUGAACCUUGGGCCUGGCUGGCCGGUCCGCCUCACCGCGUGCACUGGUCCGGCCGGGCCUUUCCCUCUGUGGAACCCCAUACCCUUCACUGGGCGUGGCGGGGAAACAGGACAUUUACUUUGAAAAAAUUAGAGUGCUCCAGGCAGGCCUAUGCUCGAAUACAUUAGCAUGGAAUAAUAAAAUAGGACGCGCGGUUCUAUUUUGUUGGUUUAUAGGACCGCCGUAAUGAUUAAUAGGGACAGUCGGGGGCAUCAGUAUUCAACUGUCAGAGGUGAAAUUCUUGGAUCAGUUGAAGACUAACUACUGCGAAAGCAUUUGCCAAGGAUGUUUUCAUUAAUCAGGAACGAAAGUUAGGGGAUCGAAGACGAUCAGAUACCGUCGUAGUCUUAACCAUAAACUAUGCCGACUAGGGAUCGGACGGUGUUAUUCAUGACCCGUUCGGCACCUUACGAGAAAUCAAAGUGCUUGGGCUCCAGGGGGAGUAUGGUCGCAAGGCUGAAACUUAAAGAAAUUGACGGAAGGGCACCACCAGGGGUGGAGCCUGCGGCUUAAUUUGACUCAACACGGGGAAACUCACCAGGUCCAGACACAAUAAGGAUUGACAGAUUGAGAGCUCUUUCUUGAUUUUGUGGGUGGUGGUGCAUGGCCGUUCUUAGUUGGUGGGGUG